rnacentral:rRNA from 1 species
UACAGAGGUCCCGAGCGUUGUUCGGAUUCACUGGGCGUAAAGGGUGCGUAGGUGGCGUGGUAAGUUUGAUGUGAAAGCUCAGGGCUUAACCUGAAAUGGCAUUGAAUACUACUGUGCUGGAGGUUUGGAGGGGGGACUGGAAUUCUUGGUGUAGCAGUGAAAUGCGUAGAUAUCGGGAGGAACACCAGUGGCGAAGGCGGUUGCCUGGGGCUUUGCUGACGCUGAUGCGCGAAAGCGUGGGGAGCGAUCCGG